rnacentral:rRNA from 1 species
CCAGACUUGAGACCGGGAGAGAUUAGAGGUACUUGUAGGGGAGCGGUGAAAUGUUGUAAUCCUACAGGGACCACCAGUGGCGAAGGCGUCUAAUCAUAACGGCUUUGACGGUGAGGAACGAAACCCUGGGGCGCAAACGGGAUUAGAUACCCCGGUAGUCCAGGGCGUAAACGCUGCUGACUUGGUGUUGGAGAUCCUACGAGGGUGUCCAGUGCUGGCGCGAAGGUAUUUAGUCAGCCGCCUGGGGAGUACGGUCGCAAGACUGAAACUUAAAGGAAUUGGCGGGGGAGCACUGCAACGUGUGGAGCGUGCGGUUUAAUUGGAUUCAACGCCGGAAAACUCACCGGGGGCGACGGUUACAUGAAGGCCAAGCUGAUGACUUUGCCUGAUUUUCCGAGAGGUGGUGCAUGGCCGCCGUCAGUUCGUACCGUAAGGCGUUCUGUUAAGUCAGAUAACGAACGAGACCUCCGUCACCAUUUGCUAUUCUCUUCUCCGGAAGGGGAGCACUAUGGUGGUACCGCCACUGUUAAAGUGGAGGAAGGAGGGGGCAACGGUAGGUCAGUAUGCCCCGAAUCUCCCGGGCUACACGCGCGCUACAAAGGCCAGGACAAUGGGCUUCGACACCGAAAGGUGAAGGUAAUCCCGAAACCUGGUCGUAAUUCGGAUUGAGGGCUGCAAUUCGCCCUCAUGAAGCUGGAAUACGUAGUAAUCGCGGGUCAACAUCCCGCGGUGAAUAUGCCCCUGCUCCUUGCACACACCGCCCGUCAAACCACCUUAGUUGGGCCUGGACGAGGGUUUGUCUUAUGACACGCUCGAAUCUGGGUUCAGCGAGGAGGGUUAAGUCGUAACAAGGUAUCCGUA